rnacentral:rRNA from 1 species
GACGAACGCUGGCGGCGUGCUUAACACAUGCAAGUCGAACGGAAAGGCCCUGCUUUUGUGGGGUGCUCGAGUGGCGAACGGGUGAGUAACACGUGAGUAACCUGCCCUUGACUUUGGGAUAACUUCAGGAAACUGGGGCUAAUACCGGAUAGGAUCUCCUGCUGCAUGGUGGGGGUUGGAAAGUUUCGGCGGUUGGGGAUGGACUCGCGGCUUAUCAGCUUGUUGGUGGGGUAGUGGCUUACCAAGGCUUUGACGGGUAGCCGGCCUGAGAGGGUGACCGGCCACAUUGGGACUGAGAUACGGACCAGACUCCUACGGGAGGCAGCAGUGGGGAAUAUUGCACAAUGGGCGGAAGCCUGAGGCAGCAACGCCGCGUGCGGGAUGACGGCCUUCGGGUUGUAAACCGCUUUCGCCUGUGACGAAGCGGGAGUGACGGUAAUGGGUAAAGAAGCACCGGCUAACUACGUG